GGGCCGGUAGCUCAGCGGUCAGAGCAGCGGACUCAUAAUCCGUCAGACGUGGGUUCGACUCCCACCCGGCCCA
rnacentral:tRNA from 1 species